GGGGGCGACUGGUUUCGACGGGUCGUUCUGAGGCCGAAGGAAGCAUACCGAGGUCUGCUACCUCGUAAAAAAGGCAGACAACAAUAGUCGCGAACAACGACAACUACGCUCUAGCCGCCUAAGGCUAGACGUCCUUAUGCCGCUCUCCCGCGGCUGUUUAAGGACGUAAAAAUGCGGGAUGGCUGUUGGUGCUAAGUCCUUAGGAACUAACGGCGAGACUCAAUUGGACUGGCUUCUUAGGACCCUGCCUCUGGGGGCCUUGGAGGCGAGAUUAAAACAAAGGCUAAGUAUGUAGAUGCCCCGGUCGAAGCGUUCUCGGACGCGGGUUCAAUUCCCGCCGCCUCCACCA
rnacentral:tmRNA from 1 species